AUUGAACGCUGGCGGCAUGCCUUACACAUGCAAGUCGAACGGUAACAGGUCUUCGGAUGCUGACGAGUGGCGCACGGGUGAGUAAUACAUCGGAACGUGCCCGAUCGUGGGGGAUAACGAGGCGAAAGCUUUGCUAAUACCGCAUACGAUCUACGGAUGAAAGCGGGGGAUCUUCGGACCUCGCGCGGCCGGAGCGGCCGAUGGCAGAUUAGGUAGUUGGUGGGAUAAAAGCUUACCAAGCCGACGAUCUGUAGCUGGUCUGAGAGGAUGAUCAGCCACACUGGGACUGAGACACGGCCCAGACUCCUACGGGAGGCAGCAGUGGGGAAUUUUGGACAAUGGGCGAAAGCCUGAUCCAGCCAUGCCGCGUGAAGGAUGAAGGCCUUCGGGUUGUAAACUGCUUUUGUACGGAGCGAAAAGCCUCUUUCUAAUAAAGAGGGGUCAUGACGGUACCGGAAGAAUAAGCACCGGCUAACUACGUG
rnacentral:rRNA from 1 species